rnacentral:rRNA from 1 species
GAUUAAGUUAUUAAGGGCGCACGGUGGAUGCCUUGGCACUAGAAGCCGAUGAAGGACGUUACUAACGACGAUAUGCUUUGGGGAGCUGUAAGUAAGCUUUGAUCCAGAGAUUUCCGAAUGGGGAAACCCAGCAUGAGUUAUGUCAUGUUAUCGAUAUGUGAAUACAUAGCAUAUCAGAAGGCACACCCGGAGAACUGAAACAUCUUAGUACCCGGAGGAAGAGAAAGAAAAUUCGAUUCCCUUAGUAGCGGCGAGCGAAACGGGAAGAGCCCAAACCAACAAGCUUGCUUGUUGGGGUUGUAGGACACUCUAUACGGAGUUACAAAGGACGACAUUAGACGAAUCAUCUGGAAAGAUGAAUCAAAGAAGGUAAUAAUCCUGUAGUCGA